AGAGUUUGAUCCUGGCUCAGGAUGAACGCCGGCGGUGUGCCUAAUACAUGCAAGUCGUACGCACUGGCCCAACUGAUUGAUGGUGCUUGCACCUGAUUGACGAUGGAUCACCAGUGAGUGGCGGACGGGUGAGUAACACGUAGGUAACCUGCCCCGGAGCGGGGGAUAACAUUUGGAAACAGAUGCUAAUACCGCAUAACAACAAAAGCCACAUGGCUUUUGUUUGAAAGAUGGCCUUGGCUAUCACUCUGGGAUGGACCUGCGGUGCAUUAGCUAGUUGGUAAGGUAACGGCUUACCAAGGCAAUGAUGCAUAGCCGAGUUGAGAGACUGAUCGGCCACAAUGGAACUGAGACACGGUCCAUACUCCUACGGGAGGCAGCAGUAGGGAAUCUUCCACAAUGGGCGCAAGCCUGAUGGAGCAACACCGCGUGAGUGAAGAAGGGUUUCGGCUCGUAAAGCUCUGUUGUUGGAGAAGAACGUGCGUGAGAGUAACUGUUCACGCAGUGACGGUAUCCAACCAGAAAGUCACGGCUAACUACGUGCCAGCAGCCGCGGUAAUACGUAGGUGGCAAGCGUUAUCCGGAUUUAUUGGGCGUAAAGCGAGCGCAGGCGGUUGCUUAGGUCUGAUGUGAAAGCCUUCGGCUUAACCGAAGAAGUGCAUCGGAAACCGGGCGACUUGAGUGCAGAAGAGGACAGCGGAACUCCAUGUGUAGCGGUGGAAUGCGUAGAUAUAUGGAAGAACACCAGUGGCGAAGGCGGCUGUCUGGUCUGCAACUGACGCUGAGGCUCGAAAGCAUGGGUAGCGAACAGGAUUAGAUACCCUGGUAGUCCAUGCCGUAAACGAUGAGUGCUAGGUGUUGGAGGGUUUUCCGCCCUUCAGUGCCGGAGCUAACGCAUUAAGCACUCCGCCUGGGGAGUACGACCGCAAGGUUGAAACUCAAAGGAAUUGACGGGGGCCCGCACAAGCGGUGGAGCAUGUGGUUUAAUUCGAAGCUACGCGAAGAACCUUACCAGGUCUUGACAUCUUGCGCUAACCUUAGAGAUAAGGCGUUCCCUUCGGGGACGCAAUGACAGGUGGUGCAUGGUCGUCGUCAGCUCGUGUCGUGAGAUGUUGGGUUAAGUCCCGCAACGAGCGCAACCCUUGUUACUAGUUGCCAGCAUUAAGUUGGGCACUCUAGUGAGACUGCCGGUGACAAACCGGAGGACGGUGGGGACGACGUCAGAUCAUCAUGCCCCUUAUGACCUGGGCUACACACGUGCUACAAUGGACGGUACAACGAGUCGCAAGCUCGCGAGAGUAAGCUAAUCUCUUAAAGCCGUUCUCAGUUCGGACUGUAGGCUGCAACUCGCCUACACGAAGUCGGAAUCGCUAGUAAUCGCGGAUCAGCAUGCCGCGGUGAAUACGUUCCCGGGCCUUGCACACACCGCCCGUCA
rnacentral:rRNA from 1 species